rnacentral:antisense_RNA from 15 species
AUCCGCGAUCAGCCUUGGUGCUGCUCGUCAGUCGCAAUCCGGGUCAGUGAUCUGAUCAAUGACAAGGACGUAAGUUCGGCAAAACGUCGCCGAUCAUCACCACCCGCUCGUUGCCGCUGAUCGCGCUCAGCGCUGCGCCGGCCCCCAGUAGCCCAACUCGCGACGGAUCUGCAACCC